GCUUUACAGUUGCUGAGAGGAGGCGAGAGGCGGGGACGCUAGGGCUAAGAUCAUGUCUGACUGGGAGAGGUUUCCUUGGCAGCAGAGGACGCUAGGUUUGGGAUGAAAGAAGCUAGGCAGAUGCAAAAUCUGGAGAGCGCGAGGGCCGGGCGGUCAGUCAGCACCCAGACUGGCAGCAUGACCGGUGAGUGUCCGGGACCCUGCUCCCGCCACCCUACCUUUCGCUCUGCCCUGUGCGUCUCCCGUCAUUGAACUCCAGAUUCCUUGUCUGCGCCUCUUUGCCUCCCUUGCUGCUUUUGGAUGUCUCCUGCGCGCCCUCUGCGUGUCCCCUCCUCGGUCGCCAGGACCAAUCGGCUCGGUCACACUGGCUUUUGAAGUCUCGCUUUUUACGCCUCUUAGCUACUUCUCAUAGGACCUAGAGCUGGGGCCUCUGAGGUCAAAGAGCCUGAACAUUUCCAAACCGCGCUUUUGCCUUGAUUUCCAAAUUAACCGCACGUGACGCUUUCCUGUAUUUCGACUGCUUUACCGUCGAAGGUCAGAUACCAAGGCUUUCUAAAGUCAACCUUUUCACUCUGCUCAGCCUCUGGAUGGAGCUCUUCCCAGCAGUAGAAGCCCAGCGGCAAAAAUCUCAGAAAAAUGAAGAGGGAAAGCAUGGACCCUUAGGAGAUAAUGAAGAGAUGACCAGAGUAUCUACUGACAAAAGACAGGU
rnacentral:sRNA from 1 species